ACUACAUUUCUGAAGUAUGACUACACGGCUUCCUCUAAGAAAUAGUAGUGUUUACAAGCCUCCGGAUGGAUCAGCAAUGCCAUAUAUGCCAUUCGGCUGCACACAAAACAACCUGCUGUUUUCAGAAAUCUGUUAGUACUGAAAAUGGGAGCCUUUUUUCUCCUUUGAUGAAUAAAGAAACAAAGUGUCUAUCAAGGAAACUCCCACCCAUCCACUAACCACUUAAAGUUGUUAAUAUUCAGUUCUUUUUGUUCUCACAGUGAUCUAUGGUGCAGCAAUUGCAAGCUGUCACAGCUCCUCCUCACACUAAAAAUUGAUUGUGAAAGAAAGUUGAGAAUGUCAGUUUGCUGCAUCCUGAUUGACAGAUCAGAUUCCCAUCAUUCACAGUGGUUGAUGCCUGCUAAGGAAGGACUGGGUGAUUUCUAAAUAAAUCCUGUGUUACAAUAUGCAUAACUCUAGGUUAUGUGUUUGUUACUGCAGUUGUGAAUUCCAACCGAUGUUCUCUCCAUCCCUAUCCACCAUAUGCUUGUAAAACAAAUCAGGAGCACUUUUUUCUAGGUAAUCUUUAGGCCUUUUAAAUCCUGCAAUAAAUGUUAUCACCAAAACGAUUCUACUGUCUCCAGCUGCCAUCUCUGUGACAAUUUACUGAGUGCUGGCUAUUUUCUUUCAAUGUCUGUUAAGUCUG